AAUUACAAGCAUGGCAACUGCAUUCCAUCCAGGGAGCAGCAACUGUAAUUUACCCUAGAAUUUCUGUGCUGUUGUAACUUCUGUUAGGAUGUGAAUAUAAAUUCUCAGUUUCCUCUAAUUUUGCCCCAAUUCUUCUUUCCACUGUGUGCUAACAUGGGCAGCAGAUGUGGUACUUGUGGUGUACCAGACUGAGCAGGAAUAUGCUGGUCACCCACAGGGCCCAGCAGGUCAUUUCUGGUCAGCCAGUCACCAGCCUUGUGGGGAGUGAUGGGUCGGCUUUGCUCCUUGGAACAGACUGAUUGGCUGAGCCGGUGCCAUGCAGCUAUACCACAGCAGUGCCACGUCAUGGCACCUCCUCUGCUGGGCUGAGGGCCACCAACCCAUCCUCCAGGGCAUAUCCAGCUGCUGAUCAUCUGAGGGCUCUUCAGGCACCACUGACUGUGUUGAGAAGAUAUUCAUCAGCUAUGAUGAUGCUUAGACACUUUGGACAUCUAUAAAUCCCCCAGGUGAAUAUAAUAAGUGUUAAAAAUUGAGAGAAAGACAGGAAGUUACAGUUUUCAGCACAGUGGAGGUGAGACUUAUUCAGGUGACUGAUUCCAUCUAUUCUGUAUCGCAGGGAUAUUUUCACAUUAUGCAGCACCUGACAAACCCCUGUAACUGCAGUGAUACUUCUGGUGAAUCAUUUGCCACCUCAUCAUCUUGGUGUACGGUGUCACCCGUGGUACUGCACACCCUGGCUCCACAGCUGGCCUAGACACUGUCACUGUGGCAGUCAAGUUGGAAGAAAGUUCAUUUCACUGCAUCUCUUCGGUGCUACUUUGGCCAACCUAACAGAAAUAAGAUCAAACUAAUAAUUUUCUCUACAAAACUCAGGAAAUCUGAUUCCAAAAUAAAUAAAGUAUAUGUAGUGUUGUUCACGUUUUACUACAUAUUGAAUUUAACCCCCACAAUCCUCAGGGGUACUGCUCUGCUCAAAACUCAAUGCAUCCAGAAACAUUCUUGAACUUGGGUUCAAAUCUUUGAUCUUGCCAAUAUAUUCCUGUAGAGAUAAAUGGAUUUUGAUUGAGGUAAAGAAAGGGGAAGUGUAUAAAGUCUGUAUAAACAAAAACAAACUAAAAUGGACACUAUUCAUUACUGCAGACCAAACCACUAUUUCUGUGUUUUAUCUAAGCAACGUCUCAUUUUAAAAGUAUAACAAGAUGUUGUAGCUGGAACUCUAAUCCAGAUAUUUUUGCCCUGGUCUGUCGUUUAAUAACCUGAUCACUAAAUUUAAAAGAUUAUACUGUUUGUGUGUUACUGGUGUCUUUGCACCACUUUUAUAUGGGAUGAGGACAGGCACUUCUGUUCAGAGUUUUUAGGUUAAUGGUACAAACCUCUUUUCCCUGGGAACAGAGACAUAGAUUUGAAUUUCCCUGUGUUGAUUAACAGACAAAACCAGGUACCUCUCUGUAUUGGCUCUGAAUGGUAACAAGGUGCUGUGCUAAUUGAUGGAUGUAGUGCUGUUUCUGUGAUUUUUCCAUGCUCCUAGUAUGCUUUCAGAGGCUCAGGUUCUCUGCACUCUGUGGAUUACAAUGAAGUCUAGAAGGGAGGGGGUAUGUGUAAAAUGUUGGCCUGAGAAUUGUUAGAACGUUGGAGAGAAUAGCAAUUUUAAAGUCUCUCUCCUGUAUUUUAAUAGGCACAGGAAAUACUAUUUUUUCCCCUAUCUUGUUCUUAUGUUUCUGUUUCUUAUCUAUUUCUUUUUUAUCUUGACUGAAACCACGGUCAGGGUUGUAGUUCUAGCAGUGAACCAUAGCUUCCAAACUCAGUGAUCUGAAAAAUAACAGGAAAGAAAAAAAAAAGGAACUUAUUAAAAUGAACUGAAAGAUAUUCUUAUGUUGAAAAGAUGAGGGUUAGAGGGGUGAAGGAAGAGGAAAGUAAAGUGUUGUAUAUGGGACUGAAGAGUACCUGCAACAACUACAGGA